CCUAUAGGACUACAUACAGGAAACAAAAGACGACGAAACAAUUAUAAGACAUUCAAGAUGACAACUUAUUUUGAUAUGGUGUAGAAAAUGAUCUUGAAACUGUGUCGUCAAAAAAACGUUUCAAAUAUACGUUCUGGGCAAAUCAAAUGGAGGGGGGCUAGGGAGAUGCCGCGCGAUACUAUAAUAAACAUUCGAAAUUAUUCAGGAAAAAUAUAAACAAGUCAUGUAUGUACGUAGGUGUAUAUUUAGGUAGUUAAAUUUGAUAAAAAUUUUGAAGAGAUUACACAUUAUGAAUAAAAUGGCUUUUUAAUUAAACGAUUAGGGGUCCAACAACUUUCAUGUAAAGUUUCUGUAAUCAUUGUGCUAAUUUCGUUAAAAUCAUAUGUGACGAGUCCCACGCUGACUUGGCACAAAUUAGUUGUGUUACAUAAAUGGACUUUCAGUAAGACCGAUUUUUUUAUUGGGAAUGAUUCCAAUAAUUAAUUAAUUAUUGAGUAUGUUUAACUCUCUGUGAUAUAUUAAUUUUGUUGUGUUACUUCUAAAUUGUACGUGUUUACUGUUCAAUUGGUUUUGUAGUUCCAUUAUUAUUUGGUACGGAUUUGUUAGUUAAUUCGCACAUUUAAUUGAAAUGUUAGUAAGCUUUUGAAGAAAGUUUUGUAACAGUAUUAUGAUUAAGUCGUUACUUCGUUACUUAAAACUUCUGAAGUUGUUGAUUUCCAAGUAGGUAUGUACCACCUGUUGGAUGGUUUGAUCUUGUACUCUUUAACCGCUACCGAAUCGUGGUUUUUUCGCCUUUAAUUUUCAUCAUUCGAAAGUUUAGUUAUUUUGUUAUGAAAAUUUCACAACGAAUGAAAAUUCGGCGUUUUGAUAAACCACUGAUAUCAGAUGGUAUUAUAAGUAAAAAGUGUAGAUUUAAAUUGCAAUGACGGAAUCCCAUACAAAAGGCAGUAGCAAGUAAAGCAAGAGGCCCCGCCAACCACCUUCUUCCAGCGGUCUUCGUCUAAUAGUUAAACAAAUCUUCGUGUACCAGUAUUUUUGAUCUCUUUCGACAAAAAAACAGCAAAAUUAAUGGAGUGCCUUACCUAUUUAAAUAUGAUAUGAAAUUAGGAUGGAUGAAUUUUAUUCUAGCAUAAUUUGAUGAAACACCAUAAUAUAAUAGCAUAAUAAAACUUCCUUGAAACCGAGUAGGUAUUUCUUUAAAUAGUAGAUAAUAUAUUGUAAUGAAUUUAAUAAAAGUUAUUUAAUAAUUAUACAUAUAAUGAAUAACAUAAAUAUGUACUAAAAUAAUUAUGGUGUGCACUAUUAUUUGAAAGAAAAUAUAUUUACGAAAUCAAUUUGUUAUUUUGUAGAAACGUAAGUAGGUCUCUACUAAUUUUUGUUUGCGUCUUUAAUGCUAAUAGCCUAUACCUUCCAUUCAUUUCCACUUUCUUAAGAACCGUCUAAUUAGAUAUAAGCAUUGAUUGUAGUAUGUCUAACUAAAUUGCAUGUGAGAAAAUCUGUAAGAACCUUCAUUAUUGCACUUUAGUAUACCUAUUUACGAGGCUUGUCUUUAAUAUUUUAAUUUUCAUAAAAUUCACAAUAAGUACAUCAAAUAGCAAGUCGGAUUACUUUCUUUGCGUGCAACCAAGUGGCAGUUUAGAUAUUACGUGUCCAGUAGACAAAUACUUUAUUAUGACCAUUAAGGGACAAUUUUUCUUUAAGCGUUCAGCUGUGUAAGGUUUUACGUUCCAUUUAUUUACUUUAACACUUUUAAUGUCAAGUCUUUUUAGUGAAUGCUUGAUAAAAUAUUGAUGCAAGUCUGGUAGAAAAAUGCUCCCAUUAUUUUGAACUCUUUAUUAAUAAAGUUUAUUAAAUCUAAAUGUAGCCUGUGCCACAUGAUGUGUAUAUACAAUAUACAUUUCUCUAGAUAGUCCUAUUGUUAUAUGUUUAUAUUAGGAAGGUCAGUUUUACCUACUAAAGCGAAUGUAAAGAACUUAUUGAAAUUAAGUGUUCCACAAUAGAGCUUCCUGAUUGAUUACUCCAUGAUUUGUCUACCAUCAGAGUUAGUUGUGUGUUGUUCCCAAAUAGUAUUGUAAUGAAAUGUAUCUCUAUUAUAAAAAUACUAUAUUUGCCGAAGCUGAUUAAAGAGCAUAUCUAAAAAUGUUAUUUUUAAUAUCUUUAUCACUUUUUUAUAUUUUAGUAAUUACAAAGAACCUUAAAACACGCACUAAAAUUUUAAUGAAAAAAUUGGCUACAAAAAGUAAUAUCAUUAAAAGUUUUAAGAAAGUAUUAAUUUUCUGCAAGCUUACUUUAGAUAUGCUCUAAUGUGGUCAUAUCAUUGAUAAAAGGGAUUUUUUCGGAAUAGCUUCAGUUUGUGGAUACCAUUUUUUUCUAAUAUUCCAAAUAAAUUCUUAACAAAUAUAUUUAAAAAAAAACCUACUUUGACCUGAAAUCAUAUGUAAACAAUAUUAUGACGAUAGAUCAAUUUUGCUCAAACUUGAAACUACUUAAAUAAAUUCUUACAUAAAUUAAUAAAAAAUAUAAUCUUAAGGCUUAUUCUUAUUGUAAUAACAGGUGAUGAAUUUGAUCUGGAUUUGUUAUGGAUAUAAUCUGUUAGUGUCAAAAGUGAUAUUUCUGGUUAUUAACAUCAGAAUAAGCCUCCUUAUCGUUUGUCUAAACUAAGGUUUAGGCAGAAGUCACAAUUUGGGUUUGAUGACAACUGUAAUGUGGACUAAAUAUGAGACUAAUUCUUUGUUUGCAUUGAUUCCAAGAUUGGUUGAACACAAUUUUGUCGUUUAGUCUGGAAUUAGGCCUGUUCAGGUCCAGUUCAGAUUGGUCUUAUCGAGCGUAAGUUUAUGAAUAUAUCAAUGCCUCUGCUCAGCAAUUGGGCACGCAUUAUAACAAAAUUAAUGUAAUUCUAAAUUUAGUGCUUUGAACUUAGAGCCUUCUUCAAAUAAAACGCUGAUUCAGACAAAAUAUGUAAUGAAAACACCAAAAAAAAUCUAUAAAUUCUCUGCAACACAAGAUUCAAAUUGUUUUAUUUAGGUGUAUUAGGAAAGCCUAUUUCCUUCAUGGCAUGAUUUAUAAAUGAGUAGGUAUCAACAGAGUCAAUCAAAAGAGGAUCGGUGUAUAUGUACAAUCUCAACGAUCACGUAAGACAAUCUGUAUUAGAGCGAAGGAGAAACUGCUCUUUACAAUAUUUUUGUUUAUUAUUUAAAUAUUUGGCCAACAAAAAUCUAAAAUUGUUGUCACAGUGAAGUACUGAAAAAGGUUUUUGUAAGCUAGUUAUAAUUAUAAUUAUCACGUACCUUGUAAAUACUUAUUAAUUAUUAUAUUUUAAAUGUUUCACUCAUAUCAUUCUAGAGAAACAGAUUUAUUAGAGAAUUGUAAGGUUUUAAAUUCAUGACACUGAUAUGUUUGAUUUAUGAAAGUGGAUUUACUAUUUAAUAAACAUAUUGUACCUACAUGAUA